UACAGAGGGGGCAAGCGUUGUUCGGAAUUACUGGGCGUAAAGGGCGCGUAGGCGGCCUGUUAAGUCGAACGUGAAAUCCCCGGGCUCAACCCGGGAACUGCGUCCGAUACUGGCAGGCUUGAAUUCGGGAGAGGGAUGCGGAAUUCCAGGUGUAGCGGUGAAAUGCGUAGAUAUCAGGAGGAACACCAGUGGCGAAGGCGGGCACCUGGGCUAACACUGACGCUGAGGCGCGAAAGCUAGGGGAGCAAACAGG
rnacentral:rRNA from 1 species